rnacentral:lncRNA from 1 species
UAGAUGCUUGUUGUCUUGAGAACACGUAACUUAUAAAUUUUUUUUUUUUAAGUAUCAAAAUUUUACAAAAUUUAAUUUAAAAAUUUAAUUUAGUAAAAAAUCUUACCUCCACUUAGUCACGUAUCUUAGAAGUUAGAACCAGCCGUAAGUUAGAACAACCAGCAACAAUAGAAACUUGAGAGACGAUGGGAUCAUCCAGAGACGACUCAGAAGAGCAAUU